AGAACGAACGCUGGCGGCAUGCCUAACACAUGCAAGUCGAACGCCUGUAGCAAUACAGGAGUGGCGCACGGGUGAGUAACGCGUGGGAACCUACCCUGGAGUGGGGGAUAACCGAGAGAAAUUUCGGCUAAUACCGCAUACGACCUGAGGGUGAAAGAUUUAUCGCUCUAGGAGGGGCCCGCGUCGGAUUAGCUAGUUGGUGGGGUAACGGCCUACCAAGGCAACGAUCCGUAGCUGGUCUGAGAGGAUGAUCAGCCACACUGGGACUGAGACACGGCCCAGACUCCUACGGGAGGCAGCAGUGGGGAAUAUUGGACAAUGGGGGCAACCCUGAUCCAGCAAUGCCGCGUGAGUGAUGAAGGCCUUAGGGUUGUAAAGCUCUUUCGGCGGGACGAUGAUGACGGUACCGCAGAAGAAGCCCCGGCUAACUCGCGCCAGCAGCCGC
rnacentral:rRNA from 1 species